rnacentral:rRNA from 1 species
AAGCACCUACGGGGCGCAGCAGUGAGGAAUAUUGGUCAAUGGGCGGGAGCCUGAACCAGCCAAGCCGCGUGAAGGAAGAAGGCGCCAAGCGUCGUAAACUUCUUUUGUCGGGGAACAAAGGGCGCCACGUGUGGCGUUGUGAGUGUACCCGAAGAAAAAGCAUCGGCUAACUCCGUGCCAGCAGCCGCGGUAAUACGGAGGAUGCGAGCGUUAUCCGGAUUUAUUGGGUUUAAAGGGUGCGUAGGCGGUCAGGAAAGUCAGCGGUAAAAGCCCGGGGCUCAACCCCGGCUAGCCGUCGCAACUGU